UACGGAGGGAGCUAGCGUUGUGCGGAAUUACUGGGCGUAAAGCGCGCGUAGGCGGCUUUGUAAGUUAGAGGUGAAAGCCCGGAGCUCAACUCCGGAACUGCCUUUAAAACUGCAUCGCUUGAAUCCAGGAGAGGUGAGUGGAAUUCCGAGUGUAGAGGUGAAAUUUGUAGAUAUUCGGAAGAACACCAGUGGCGAAGGCGGCUCACUGGCCUGGUAUUGACGCUGAGGUGCGAAAGCGUGGGGAGCAAACAGG
rnacentral:rRNA from 1 species